rnacentral:sRNA from 1 species
UAAGUUUGACAUCAAUGAUGCUAUGAAGAAGCCGACAAUAGAAGCACAGACCUUCUUAGUUGGGGAAAGGAUCGGCUAGUUGAUGAACUGCUAGUGGAACUUGAAGAAGCAAAUAACUCAAAAACUGUUUUAAUCAAGAGUGGUAAAGCUGGGUAUCUCCCUAAUGAAACUUUGAAUUCUGAAAAGUCAUUAGACUCACACAAGGCAGCAGUUGGUUCAGAGGUUUACAAGGGCUUGAUGGGGUCUAAACCAAAUGAUAUGAGAGCUAAUGAAGUAAGUUCAACACAUACUCGACCAACUGAUUCCACCAACAACUCGAAGAAGCCUCCAACUUUCCCUGAGAGCUCAUGCUUGACCGAACAGCUCAAGGCAAGCACUCGAACGUCAGAUGAUUGGUUAGAACUCAAGGAGAGAUCUAAAUGGCAGGACAAAGCCAUACAAGAGCUAACAUAUAUUGUGAAAGAGAUGAAGGAUCGAAUCAAGGAGCUCAAUGGAAAAGCUAACCAAGUACCACUCAACAUCAAGGACGUCCCAGAUUAUGGAGCCACUAUUCUGGUCAGCAAAGAAAGAUGUGAAUUCACGUUGGAAUGGUCUAGUGGAGAAGACUAUCCUGAU